rnacentral:rRNA from 1 species
CUCCUACGGGAGGCAGCAGUGGGGAAUAUUGGACAAUGGGGGCAACCCUGAUCCAGCCAUGCCGCGUGAGUGAUGACGGCCUUAGGGUUGUAAAGCUCUUUUCUCCGGGACGAUAAUGACGGUACCGGAGGAAUAAGCCCCGGCUAACUUCGUGCCAGCAGCCGCGGUAAUACGAAGGGGGCUAGCGUUGCUCGGAAUCACUGGGCGUAAAGGGCGCGUAGGCGGCUGAUUUAGUCGAGGGUGAAAGCCCGUGGCUCAACCACGGAAUGGCCUUCGAUACUGAUUGGCUUGAGACCGGAAGAGGACAGCGGAACUGCGAGUGUAGAGGUGAAAUUCGUAGAUAUUCGCAAGAACACCAGUGGCGAAGGCGGCUGUCUGGUCCGGUUCUGACGCUGAGGCGCGAAAGCGUGGGGAGCAAACAGGAUUAGAUACCCUGGUAGUCCACGCUGUAAACGAUGAAUGCUAGCCGUUGGGGUGCAUGCACCUCAGUGGCGCCGCUAACGCUUUAAGCUCUCCGCCUGGGGAGUACGGUCGCAAGAUUAAAACUCAAAGGAAUUGACGG